rnacentral:rRNA from 1 species
GGGCCCGCACAAGCGGUGGAGCAUGUGGUUUAAUUCGAUGAUACGCGAGGAACCUUACCAGGGCUUAAAUGUAGUGGGACAGGUCUAGAGAUAGACCCUUCUUCGGACUCAUUACAAGGUGCUGCAUGGUUGUCGUCAGCUCGUGCCGUGAGGUGUCAGGUUAAGUCCUAUAACGAGCGCAACCCCUAUCGUUAGUUGCCAGCGGGUAAUGCCGGGAACUCUAGCGAAACUGCCGGUGCAAACCGAGAGGAAGGUGGGGAUGACGUCAAAUCAUCACGGCCCUUACGUCCUGGGCUACACACGUGCUACAAUGGCCGGUACAGAGAGCAGCCACUACGCGAGUAGGAGCUAACUUUAAAAACCGAUCUCAGUUCGGAUCGCAGUCUGCAACUCGACUGCGUGAAGCUGGAAUC